rnacentral:lncRNA from 1 species
AAAAUAUACUAGUGAAGGAGCCCGCGCUUUGCAGCCGGUAAAAACCAUAGUAGUAAUUAAUAAUAAAAAAAUAUUAAAUAUUCUUUUGUAUAUCCCACUUGGUAUAUCCACUAAGGUGCCGUUUGGUUGGAUGUAGUUGAAGAAACAGUGUAGUUGGAAAUACAUGCAGUUGCAAAUGCUACAGUUAUAACUGCACCUAGUCUGUUUAGUUUUAUACAGUUGCAACUGCUGCAGUUACAUUUUUCUGUUUGGUAGGCUGCAGUUGAGAUUUGUAUUUAUAAAUACUGUGUCACCUUUUAGAUAGAAAGAUGAAAUUACCUCUCAUAG